UCGAUCAAGGGCAGGGGAAAAACAAGGGUUACCUUGUUCUUGCAAAAAUUCACCAAUUGACAAGGAGAAAUCAAGGUUUAAUUGCUGCAUGUGCUAAAACUUCAAACAUCUAAGUAUAUCUAGUAAAGUGGUGUAAAGGAAGAAGGCUCGAAUUCUAAGAAGCCGGAAGGAUCACAAGACCGAGGUAAAUCCUCGACUUAGGCGAUUGGACGACUUGGAACGUGCACACUUGGUUUACGCCCGCUUCUCGCUUCCGUUGUUAAGCCUUUUUGGAAUGGGUUAAGUCUUGGUCUUAUGUAUUUAAGUCUAGGUAGUAUGUUGACAUCUUUGUCGUAGGGUAAAAUUUGGUAGUUGGAGUCAUGUCGUGACCAAUGUGGACUUUGUUUGUUUUGGGUUUUUGUCAAAGAUGUUUAAUGUUUAAGUUUGGUUUGUAAAACAGGUGGUUAAUGAUGUUAAACGAAUAGGUCAUGUCGAAAUUUUCAAAAAUAUUUUCCUACUUAUUUGUACGUAUUUAAUAGUAGGAUUGGGGCGUAACAAAAAAAAGUUAACAUCUUCGGUUGGCGAGGGUUUCAAGAUAGGCUUCCAACUCUUAAAGGUUUGAAGAAACGUAACAUAUUUCACGGUUCUACAUUGUGCAGCUUAUGUGGGGAGGCCGAAGAGGAUGCGGAACACCUUUUCAUCUCUUGUUAUGUGGCAGCCGUCCUAUGGCAAAAGGUUAGCGUAUGGUGUAAUAUUCCCCAAAUCUACGCGUUUAAUAUGAAAGAUUUGUUUCAAACGGGAAGGAACUUGGCUGUAUCAAAUCAUAAGAAGGAGUUGGUCCGGAUGAUUAUUUUGGUAGCAUGUUGGGUGAUUUGGAAGACGCGAAACGAGCUGGUUUUCUCAUGGUGCCGUCCAAAUAUUGAUAAGAUAUUUGGAGAGUUGCAAGCUAUGUCCUUUCUAUGGUUAAAGAACCGGGCGAAACAAUUCAAUUUUGAGUGGAAUAAUUGGGUAAAUUUUUCGGGCUUUGAGUAAUGUAAAUCAGGUACUAUAGGGCAUAUGUGGGGUUUACAUUUUGUGUUUAGAGUCUUGUAAACAUUGAAUGUAAUUUUG